rnacentral:lncRNA from 1 species
UCUUCUACAGCCGCAGCCACCAAACCAAAGCCAUUCUCUUCAACUCUUUCUCUUUCAUCUAAUCUUCAUCAUCUUCACACUUUCACAGCCACCCUAGCCAAAGCAAAGUAUUCUUUUCCUCUCUCUUCAACUCUUCUUUUCAUCAAAUCAUUGUCGUCACUCGUCAUUACUUCGCCAUAGCCAAAGCAAAGUAUUCAACCAAAGCCAUUCUCUUCAACUCUUUCUCUUUCAUCUAAUCUUCAUCAUCUUCACACUUUCACAGCCACCCUAGCCAAAGCAAAGUAUUCUUUUCCUCUCUCUUCAACUCUUCUUUUCAUCAAAUCAUUGUCGUCACUCGUCAUUACUUCGCCACCUUCACUGUAUUUCAUGUUCAUCUUCAUCACUGGCCGUCACUUAUCUAUCUAUUUCAUAGGUUUUGGUCGACGUUUGUCUACCUUCAUGAUUGCAAUCGCGGUUGUGGCGCUGUGUUCAUCAUCAUCAGCCUCCAUUCGUUACUUCACCGGUUGCAGAUCCUUGAAGUUCGUAAAUAUUGAAUGCGUGAAUCGUCAAUUUGAAUUGUAGAUCUACGUUAUGGAUUUGUAUUUGUGAAUGUUUUAUUACUUUGAAUCAUUGAAAUUAGAAUUUGUAUUUGUGUUUGAUCUUUUUAGAAUUGAGAUUUGUAUUUG